rnacentral:lncRNA from 1 species
GCCAAAUUGCCGCCAUCACCGGGAUCGCCCCCGGCGGUCAGCGAAUCCUCGUCGGAUACCCUCCCGAGUGCCUGGAUCUCAGCAAUGGGGAUACCAUUCUGGAAGACUUGCCCAUCCAAUCUGAUCUGGAUUUGUUUUAUUUUUAACAGGUGACAUGCUGAUCAUUGAAGAAGACCAAACCAGGCCCAGAAGUUCACCUGCAUUUACUAAACGUGGUGCUUCUAGUUACGUCAGGGAAACUUUGCCUGUCCUUACCAGAACCGUGGUCCCAGCAGACAACUCUUGCCUCUUUACCAGUGUGUACUAUGUCGUCGAAGGAGGAGUCUUGAAUCCAGCUUGUGCCCCUGAGAUGAGACGCCUCAUAGCACAAAUUGUAGCAAGCGAUCCAGACUUCUAUAGUGAGGCAAUACUGGGAAAAACAAAUCAAGAGUACUGUGACUGGAUCAAAAGGGAUGACACUUGGGGAGGAGCAAUAGAGAUAUCGAUUUUGUCCAAGUUUUACCAAUGUGAAAUAUGUGUAGUGGAUACACAGACAGUAAGAAUUGAUCGUUUUGGGGAAGAUGCAGGAUAUACCAAAAGGGUUCUGCUUAUUUAUGAUGGCAUCCACUAUGAUCCACUUCAACGUAACUUCCCUGAUCCAGAUACACCUCCUCUGACCAUUUUCUCCUCUAAUGAUGAUAUUGUUCUUGUACAAGCACUGGAAUUAGCAGAUGAAGCUAGAAGAAGGAGACAGUUUACUGAUGUCAACCGCUUCACCCUGAGAUGCAUGGUAUGUCAGAAAGGAUUAACUGGACAAGCAGAAGCAAGGGAACAUGCCAAGGAGACAGGCCAUACCAACUUUGGAGAAGUGUGACCUAUGUAUGAAUGAGGGUUGAAGCCUACUACCUCACACAUCCAGAAGGCUCUGGGUUUUCCAAUAAGCUAUCGUAACCCUAAAGAACAAAGGAUACAAUGCUUGAACCAUCCUUUUAACUUAAAACCACUAAGACACUGAAAUUCCUUGUUAAGAUUAAAAUUAGUGUGCAAGUUUACAGAUGUGUGUCUACAGUGGUAAACUGUACAUACAUGCCUCUUUCUGCUGGAGUGACAGAAUAGGUGAUCCUUGCCACCUACUGACACUGACCUGAAGGUUGAGAUUGAGUAUUAUAAAUUAGCACCCAGCAGCUUUAACUUGUAGAAGAAAGCAUCACAUUUUGGGUAAUGUGGAAGGCCUCCUGUGAGUCCACUGGGCAUACGAUUGAGAUUGAGUAUUAUAAACUAGCACCCAGCAGCUUUAACUUGAAGAAGAAAGCAUCACAAUUUGGGUAAUGUGGAAGGCCUCCUGUGAGUCCACUGGACAUUUACCACAGUGUCUCCAGUAACUGAGUCUUUUUAAAAACUGAAUGAGUUAAGUUUCUAAAUUAUGAAUUGAUUCAUCAAAUGAAAAUACUCAGAAUUGUCCAAACUGAUUUUAUAUUGCAAUUUGGUAGACAUUAUAAAUGUGUGCUUAACCACUGAUAAGUACAUCACAAGCAAUUUUUACAGGGAUGAGUCUCAUCCUUGAGAAUGUUAUCACAAAACAGGAACUGAUUGUGCCCUGUUUAAGAUCUCUAGCAUAUAAAACGUAGAAUGUAUGAGGGAAAAGGUGCCUGAGCAGCUUCCUGAAGCUUUAAAAGACCGUUGGCCUCGUGUUUUAAUGCAAUUCAUGUAUUGGUCUUUGUCACAUCGGAUAACAUUUUAAAGUUAAGCAGGGUACUUUUUUAAUUGAAAUUCCUUGAAAUUCGAGUCCUCAGUUUUUUCUUCAUUUGCGUAAAGUUUAACGGGGGGAUUUAAUUUUCUCAGCUUUUUGUUAAGAGCACUUCCUCCAAAAAUUUUUUUUCAAGUAAUAAUGCUCUGCUUUGGGUUGGUUUUUGUAAGAUUUUUUGCACACCUAAAGAGUGUUUGCUUUUGUG